AAGAUAAGAGCCACUCAAUUAGCCCAGGAUGCUUGCUCAACAUAACCCACAAAAGGAUUCUCAUUCUUUUUAUUUUGAAAACCCUCAAUGAUGGACGUAGGCAAGUCAUCCUUGGCUAGCAAAGCAAAGCUCUUCAUCU
rfam:Citrus clementina cultivar Clemenules unplaced genomic scaffold scaffold_4, whole genome shotgun sequence.